GGACAACGUCAGAAACCAAAAGCUCCUCUGCCCAGGGAUGGGGACCCGCCGACUUCAAGGGCAGAACAGAUCAGCUAUGAAAAUACCCAGCCGGCCUGCAGCCCUCCCGGCAGAUGCUGAAAAGGAAACCCGACUGGGAGAUGCCGCCCACCCUUAUCCCCAGAGAGCUGCGUUGUUUCCUCUUGCCUUGGCCUUUGGAUCCGGCCAUAGCAAGCAUCCCUGGGCACCUGGCUGAAGCUGGAAACUCGGGAUAAGAAUGGAAGCCCUGGAAGGGAAGAAGAACCGAG
rnacentral:lncRNA from 1 species